UACAGAGGUCUCAAGCGUUGUUCGGAUUCAUUGGGCGUAAAGGGCGCGUAGGCUGCGGGGCAAGUCGGGUGUGAAAUCUCAGGGCUCAACCCUGAAACUGCACUCGAUACUGCUCUGCUUGAGGACUGGAGAGGAGACUGGAAUUCACGGUGUAGCAGUGAAAUGCGUAGAUAUCGUGAGGAAGACCAGUGGCGAAGGCGGGUCUCUGGACAGUUCCUGACGCUGAGGCGCGAAGGCCAGGGGAGCAAAGCGGG
rnacentral:rRNA from 1 species